rnacentral:tRNA from 1 species
CGAGAUGUAAUUCAGAUUGGUAGAAUGCUUGGUUUGGGACCAAGAUGUCGCAGGUUCGAGUCCUGUCAUCUCGA